UACGUAGGGUGCAAGCGUUAUCCGGAAUCACUGGGCGUAAAGCGUGCGUAGGUGGGAAUUUAAGUGUGAUGUUAAAUCGUGUGGCUCAACCAUAUCGAUGCAUCGCAUACUGGGUUCCUAGAGGACGGCAGAGGCAAGUGGAAUUAGCAGUGUAGCAGUGAAAUGCGUAGAUAUUGCUAGGAACACCAAAUGGGCGAAGGCAGCUUGCUGGGCCACUCCUGACACUGAGGUACGAAAGCGUGGGGAGCGAACAGG
rnacentral:rRNA from 1 species